GAUGAAGAACGUAGCGAAAUGCGAUACGUAAUGUGAAUUGCAGAAUUCAGUGAAUCAUCGAAUCUUUGAACGCACAUUGCGCCCCUUGGUAUUCCGAGGGGCAUGCCUGUUCGAGCGUCAUUAUAACCCCUCAAGCUCAGCUUGGUGUUGGGGCCUGCUGCACUGGCAGCCCUUAAAAUCAGUGGCGGCGCCGUCUGGCUCUAAGCGUAGUAAUUCUUCUCGCUAUGGAGUCCUGGUGGAUGCUUGCCAUCAACCCCCAAUUUUUCUAUGGUUGACCUCGGAUCAGGUAGGGAUACCCGCUGAACUUAAGCAUAUCAAUAAGCGGAGGA
rnacentral:misc_RNA from 1 species